rnacentral:tRNA from 1 species
CGGGAUUUGGCGCAGCUUGGUAGCGCGCUUGCAUGGGGUGCAAGAGGUCAGGGGUUCAAAUCCCCUAAUCCCGACCA